CCGGUGGGGGCGGCCUAACACAUGCAAGUCGAGCGGCAGCGGAGAGUAGCUUGCUACUUUGCCGGCGAGCGGCGGACGGGUGAGUAAUGCUUGGGGAUCUGCCCAUUCGAGGGGGAUAACCGUUGGAAACGACGGCUAAUACCGCAUACGCCCUACGGGGGAAAGCAGGGGACCUUUUGGCCUUGCGCGAAUGGAUGAACCCAAGUGAGAUUAGCUGGUUGGUGAGGUAACGGCUCACCAAGGCGACGAUCUCUAACUGGUCUGAGAGGAUGACCAGUCACACUGGGACUGAGACACGGCCCAGACUCCUACGGGAGGCAGCAGUGGGGAAUAUUGCACAAUGGGGGAAACCCUGAUGCAGCCAUGCCGCGUGUGUGAAGAAGGCCUUCGGGUUGUAAAGCACUUUCAGUGGGGAGGAAAGGUGUGUGGCGAAUACCCGCGCACUGUGACGUUACCCACAGAAGAAGCACCGGCUAACUCCGUGCCAGCAGCCGCGGUAAU
rnacentral:rRNA from 1 species